rnacentral:lncRNA from 1 species
AGCGUCAACACGAAUACAGAUUUGUGCCCCAAAAGUCGAUGAGGAAGAAUUGUUCAUGGGCAUCUUCCUGCGACUCGAUGUUGAUGCGAGUGGUGGCGCUGCUCCUGGUACUGCAUUUCUUUCAGGAAGCAGUAUGUUCUCUGGGACCGUUCGAGCCCACUUCUCUGCCUCUCGCCCGCCUGUCUACACAGUUUGGAAGAUGCUCUGUUGAGGAGGUUGAUAGCAUUGAGACGAUAUGUGGAUCCUGAGACAGGGAUUUAUCGGAUUGCAGUGCUCAACACCAAGACAGUGAGUGUUUAGGGAGUUUGUUGUCCACCCUUUCCAGUACAAUUCUGGCUCCGGAAGCUGGGGGAAUCCAUGACUUGUCCAAUCCUGACUGAGGGAGAGGAUCGCUUCUAUGACCUGCUACAAUGGAGUCUGGCAAGCGGUGAGCCAGGAUCCAUUCGGCUACUGGCAGAUAUUGUGUGAGGAUUUUGCUGGUACAAGCGUGCUAGCUAGAGAAGGAUGAGGAUGGCUCACACUCAGCCAUGGUCGCAUCUGGGAAAUAUUACUGGCCACUUCGUGAUAUCAACAUGGGAGGUGAAGAAUGGAUGGGGAUGAUGUGAUUGUUGUUGCCAACUGUAUGGGAUAAUUUUGUGUUCUUAUCUGUAUUGUGGUCAUUUGGAAAAAGAGUUUGCAUAUUUUUUUACCCGUGACCUAUACAUUUGCACCAAUCUCAAAAUUGGAGAAUUAGAUUUACAAACUUUAUAUUUAUGCUAUAAGUGUACAAUUAUAAUAUUGUAUAUUAAUAUUAGUGUAAUGGGAUUUUAAUAAUUGAGAUUGUCAAAAUCUUGUGCAUGCAUUUUCAGCCACUUUUGAUUAUGCCUUUU